rnacentral:rRNA from 1 species
UACGUAGGCAGCGAGCGUUGUUCGGAGUUACUGGGCGUAAAGGGUGCGUAGGCGGUUGUUUAAGUUUGGUGUGAAAUCUCCCGGCUCAACUGGGAGGGUGCGCCGAAUACUGAAUGACUAGAGUGCGGGAGAGGAGAGUGGAAUUCCUGGUGUAGCGGUGAAAUGCGUAGAUAUCAGGAGGAACACCGGUGGUGUAGACGGCUCUCUGGACCGUAACUGACGCUGAGGCACGAAAGCGUGGGUAGCAGACAGG